rnacentral:rRNA from 1 species
UACAGAGGGGGCAAGCGUUGUUCGGAAUUACUGGGCGUAAAGGGCGCGUAGGCGGCCAACUAAGUCAGACGUGAAAUCCCUCGGCUUAACCGGGGAACUGCGUCUGAUACUGGAUGGCUUGAGGUUGGGAGAGGGAUGCGGAAUUCCAGGUGUAGCGGUGAAAUGCGAAGAUAUCUGGAGGAACACCGGUGGCGAAGGCGGCAUCCUGGACCAAUCCUGACGCUGAGUGAGCGAAAGCCAGGGGAGCAAACGGG